AAGAAAUUAGUUAAAUCUUAUAACAUUAAUAUGUCAUAUUAAAAUUAUUAAAUAUAAUAUUUCUUU
rnacentral:tRNA from 1 species